UGAUUAUCUUUUUUUUUUAUAAUUAAUGGGAUGUGGAUACCACCAGUUAGUAACUGUAACGUAACUGGCAGUUACAAUAGCAUAGUUCUUGUGGUCUGUCAAAAGUUUGCUUUUCUACGUAUUUUGAGUAACUAAUAAUAGUAUUUCUUCUAUAAAUAAACUAAAGCCUGGUCCGUGAGCACGUAGAAUUUUGUCCAAUGACCCCAAGCUACCCAUCCUUAUCGCUCGCGCGUAAUUAUAUUGCGGUCGCGAUUGUGCGACGCGCCCCCGCAGUGAGUGUGCAGGCUUUACACGAAGAGUUGGCGUCAAAACAAGUUGGAUAUAGCUGUUUUUCUAAAAUGGUAGAGCGCGGUUUGAUGUUACGGAAACCAUGAAUGGUUGAUCAACAUCCCUAUUCUAUGAGUAGAUAUAACAAGUUUUGAUUAAAAUUAACUAACACUGGAGUUGUGAAAAAGCAAGCAAUGGAAGCAAUAAUGUCGUAUUUACAAAAUACGUGUAACGUAUUCGCACAAAUUAACUUUUUAACACUAAUAUUUUUAUUAGUCAGAUACGCUUGUAACGGUAGUGAUAUGUCAGGUUGUUUAGAAACUAAUCACAAUUUAGGUGCUAUAUUAAAAUCUGUUUUUCGAUUUUUUUUGCUUUACGAGUUGCUAUAAUACGCUUGGCCUGUGAGUGUAUCAUCCAAACAGGUUUUUUGGGCUGACUUUGUCUUAUGAAAAGGAAAUUAGGACUACGACAAUUUUUCGUAGAUUCUAUGUUAGAAUAAGUUAUGGUUUUUUAGUGAUGUUCUCGAAGCAUAAAAUUGUGUAUACACUGUGCAAUAAUUGACGUGUAACAUGUUUCGAAACGUGUGUUUUUCGUCGUUGUUAGUUGAAAUUCACGCGUGCAACGUUGCCAGCAAUGUUGAAAGUCAUUAGCUGCGCAUCAAUUAUUGCCUUGUGUCUGGCUUUAGGUCCAUCGGUUGAUGCUUUUCGAUACAAAAUAAUGUUGUCCUAAUAUUUCCAGCAAUAAGACAAGAUAAAAUAGAAGUCAGCACCGUUAUAAACCUUGUUGUGUAAAUAUAAAUUGUUAUUAAUUUGUGAAUAUUUAACUAGUCUAUGUAAAUAUUAAUUUGUUGGCGGAUAAGUAGUAAUCAACUACGGACUCUCAUAUUAAAUGUUUCGAUUCUUCUGUUGAACUUCUAUGACAAAAAAAAACACAAUUUAUUUAUAAGGAAUUUAAAUAGUUACUGUGAAGUCAGAUUUGUUAGAACAGGAUUUAUGCCUAGCACUUUUAUUUCUAAUGUUGUUGACAAUGUAAGUUAAAAGCAAUAAUGUUAACGUUAGCCUUGCCCAGUUAAAAAUGGUGCUAUAGAUGUGAUUGCAAAAUAAAAGUGCCUUCAAAGUAGAAACCGGUUUUUUGCUAUUUACUGAAGAAAUAUAUUUUAUGAAACAUACUAUUUUUCAUACAUAUUACUUUGCCCAAUUAUGAAAAUAAUCAUGGUGAAAAAUUUAGGUUGCUAUCAUAUUGCAAGCAAUAUAGUAAUAAAACAUAGGUUUCUUUCUUAUAGUACACAUUCAUCUAGGGAUGUUUUAAAUAAGUGUGUUUUAUCAUAUCCACGAAACAAUACCUUAGUAUAUUCUCGUAAUAGAGUUGUUUUUUUUUCAUAUAAUUAUUGUAUAUUUUCUGUAAGUGCCAUAACACGUACACACAAAGCCUGGGCUUGUGGAAAUCAGAACUAUUCUGUUCUUUACCUAUAACGUGAAAAGAUCUGUAUUUACGUGUAUGUUAUUAAUUAAGUAAUAAAAAUAUAAUUCACUAUCACAGUAUAAAAGUCUAUAAGAUAUCUGUUAAAAUACAUUACAUUUAUGUAUGUAACAAUUAAAUGCUAUUGCGCUAUUCGAAACACAUAAUAUAAUAGUGAGUAUUUUACUUAAAAAUGUAUAAUCAAAAUGUCUAAACUUUGUUUAUAUUUAACGUGUACAAACACAAAUGUUUGUUCAAUUUGACGAUAAAAAUAUGUGGGUCAUGAGUAGAAUGGAACGUAAAAAAAAUUACGAAAAGAAAAAAAAGAUCUUCAAAAAAGGUUUACGCGCUUCUCGCUUACACUGCGUUAUUUUAAAUUCUUUCAGCUUAUUCACUCGUAGUUCGGUCUCGUUCAUUACCUUUACAUUCCAUUUUAUUCGUAUCCUACACAUAUUAUAUUAGGUGUGACCUAAUAAUACUCAUAACGCUGUUGAGAAGUACAAAACUAACGUAGCCUCGUAAAUGUAUGUAUAUAAAUAUUACUUAUUUACACUUGAGUAAUUAUUAACACAAGUUAUACAGCUAAAAGUUGCCGCUUUGCUUGUUAAAAAAGUGUAAAAGUGUCUUAUAUUUAAUAAUAAUAUUUGUUAAAUACAUAAAAAGAGAUAAGAGGCUACAAUGACUAUAAAAAUUUAUUCUUAUAAUUACGUAGUCUUCCAUUGUUAUGUUAAAAGUGUAACUGCUGAGUUAAAUUUUAAUAUAACGUUGUGUAAAAUGUAUGUUCACUUCGACCUAAAAGUUUAGUUUAGUUAUACCGUUGUGUAGAUACUGCAACAUCACUAUUCAUGAACCAAAAAUUAUAAAAAAACGAUAUUUAAAUAUUUUGAAUAUAAUUUUGAGAGCAGAACAUGUCAAAAAUCUAUACCUUUAUUAUCCGAAAAAUCGUGAGUUUGGUGCUAAAAUACAACCAAGUUUUUUUUGGAUCGAAAAAAUAACAGAUUUUGUGUGGGGAAGAAUUUUUUGUUUUACAUUUCCAUGUUGAGGAAGUUUUUGAAGUUUUCUUUUGUUGUCUGUAGUUCCUGUCACUACGUUCACUUUGCUUGGUUGUGAUUGUGACAGAUAAAAUAGUUUUCGCUGUUUCUAAUAACAUUGAAUGUUAAUUGAAAUGGCGAAAGGUUAAUUAUAUUAGCAAGGAAUUAUCAAAUUAAAUUUCGGAGUAAAAAAGUAUGGUGUUCGAACUAAAUUGCCGUUGCCUUUUAGAGGUAAACAUUUAUCAGCACAAAAACAAGUUUCUCAAAAACAAAAUCUCAAGUUAAUAUAAACACUUACCAUGAAGAUUUUUUAUGUACUCGUAUCUAUAGGUUACAAAAAUCCAUUACGACAGUUAAUUAUUAUAACGUUUUUUUUUUUCAAAUGCAGGCAUCGUAAAUACCAUAAUCUGGUAUAUUUUUUAUUUGACUUAAAAAUAAAAUCCACCUUGAUAAAACAUAGGUGAUCCAAGCCUAUUUUCAGUGUCGAAUAAAUAUUAUUUAAUGCGAAUAUUUACGCAACGUAUCGAUUGUUAUGUAAUUUGUAAAGUGAGUAAGCAA